UCCCUCUUAGCUCAGUGGUAGAGCGCGUCACUAGUAAUUCUAUUAUGAGGAGUUCAUGACGAGGUCAGUCGUUCAAGUCGGCUAGCGGGAA
rfam:Hypholoma sublateritium FD-334 SS-4 unplaced genomic scaffold scaffold_49, whole genome shotgun sequence.